UUUAUCCUGCUUGGUGCGUAAUGUGUCCUUUUGGACCCACAUCAUUUAAUAGGGAUGCAUAACUUCUGUGCCCGAUUGCAGACCUCCCGCAUUUUGAUGCGGACGUUGGGAGCAGCUAAAGCACAGAGAGGCAACCCACCUGCCUUUUCGUGCAGGUCAUAAUCGGAUGCAUACGGCCAAAGCGGGUAAACG
rnacentral:other from 1 species